rnacentral:rRNA from 1 species
CUUGACAUCCAGCGAACUUUCCAGAGAUGGAUUGGUGCCUUCGGGAACGCUGAGACAGGUGCUGCAUGGCUGUCGUCAGCUCGUGUUGUGAAAUGUUGGGUUAAGUCCCGNAACGAGCGCAACCCUUAUCCUUUGUUGCCAGCGAUUCGGUCGGGAACUCAAAGGAGACUGCCGGUGAUAAACCGGAGGAAGGUGGGGAUGACGUCAAGUCAUCAUGGCCCUUACGAGUAGGGCUACACACGUGCUACAAUGGCGCAUACAAAGAGAAGCGACCUCGCGAGAGCAAGCGGACCUCAUAAAGUGCGUCGUAGUCCGGAUCGGAGUCUGCAACUCGACUCCGUGAAGUCGGAAUCGCUAGUAAUCGUGGAUCAGAAUGCCACGGUGAAUACGUUCCCGGGCCUUGUACACACCGCCCGUCACACCAUGGGAGUGGGUUGCAAAAGAAGUAGGUAGCUUAACCUCCGGGAGGGCGCUUACCACUUUGUGAUUCAUGACUGGGGUGAAGUCGUAACAAGGUAGGCGUAGCGAG